rfam:Salmo salar isolate Sally breed double haploid chromosome ssa11, whole genome shotgun sequence.
UGCAUUCACUACUGUAAGUCACUCUGGAUAAGAGUGUCUGCUAAAUGAAUAAAA